AGUUGACCUCGAAUCAGGUAGGACU
rnacentral:rRNA from 1 species